UGCAAAGUGCAAAAACAAAAGAAGAAAAAGAAUGAAAAUAAAGUUAUUUAUGUUACUCACAAGUAUAAUUGAUGAUUUUUAAAGGCAUCAAACAUCAAAACUUGAAUCGGUGUCUCUUGGUAAGCAACCUUAAUUGCUUUCGGUUACUUGUACAAGAUUAGGGUUUCAAAAAUUAGAAACAAAGUGAAAAAAUUAAAUAGAAG
rnacentral:lncRNA from 1 species